rnacentral:misc_RNA from 1 species
AACCCGGCAACCUUGAUAGGCGCGCCGACCUUGCCCUCAGCUUCCUUCACGGCCUGCGCCACGGUCUUGGCGCUGUCGUGGAUAAACGCCUGCUCCAGCAGGGUCACUUCNNNNNNNUAGUAGGUCUUGAGACCCGAUUCGACGAUCUUGGCGAUCAUUGCAUCCGGCUUGCCCUGCUGGCGGUACUUGUCCGCCAUGAC